CCAAACCCUUACACUAAUUCUCUCCAUGCUACACUCAAAUUCUUUCUCUUUCUCUCUGUCAUAGGCUCAUAGCUCAUAGGUAGCUUAAUAUCAUGGCAGUCAUGAAGAAAGUUAGAUCUCUAAUCCAAACUUCUUCCUCUAUUGAUCAGCCAUGGCUCUUUUAGUUGUCACUAAAGGACGAUCACGAAUGAAGUUUGCUGAAGUCAAAAUUAGAGAGCUAAAUAAAGCUUGUUGUCAUCAAAGCAAGACUAGGAAUAUGAAAUUUCUGAAGUCAAUGCAAGAAAACUAAAGCCUGAUCUGGUAUAUUUUUUUCUCACUUGGCAUCUAGUAUUCACACUGAGGUGCUGACUAAUCUUGAUUCGCAGCAGUGUAAGAACCAUAAAGGGGGGAAGCGUCUUAAGAAUUUAUCGCCAACUUAAUUAAUAUUUAAGAUAUUUCAUGAAGAAUCUAGAACUGUCAAAGAGUUGUAGAGAAUUGGGAGGAGCACUCUAGAAUGGAAAUUUUAGAAUAGUUCUAGAAGAGUGCUGAACAUCUUCCACUGGAUCCUUCCAUCACCACUUAUAAAGAGCGAUAGUUCGUUGAGUUAUAUGUGUGCUCAAGUAAGGAGUGUGUGCUCAAGCAAUGAGUGAGUACUUAAGAAAAGAAUGUGCACUCAAGUAAGAAGUGCUCAAGUAAAUAAGCAAGAAGUGAGUGAGCAAGUGAGAAAUAAUAGAGAGCAACAAAGAGAUCGUUGCUAGAGCGUGAGUGCAAGAAAAAAUUGUGUAAGAUUUUUAUCAAUUUGGUCUAAAAAUUGAGUGUAAGAUUUUUAUCAAUUUGCUCUUAGUAUAAUCUUUUGGGUUUGAAAAAACUCGUAAGAUAAGCUUUGCUAGAUUGAAAAAUUCUAGUGAGUAAUUAGCAAUUGAAUCAUAAUCAAUAAUCUUAUGUAUUUAAUCAAGAUACUUAUAUUCAUGAAUUAGCUUUGUCAUAUUGAAGUUACAACCCUGGUUUCUCUUUUACUUGAAAACAAAACAUAUUUUCUUGUAUUUCAAGUGGUUGACAAAAGUCCUAGCUUAAUAUUAUUCAAAUUUUAGUAGUUAUUGUAGAAGUAAUUGUUCAAUCACCCUUUUGUUGAAGAUUGCUUUAGAAAUUUCACAAAUUUUCACACCUUGACACACUCCUUCUGGGAUCGACCUCAACUUUUGUUGGGUUUAUUUUUACUACAUACGACUGUACUAUAUUUUAUUUUGAGGGGUAGAAUUGAACGAUAUCAAAAUUCUUAAAUCUCAGAGCUCAAACCCGAAACAACUGAUUAAGGAUGGAGAGCUAUGAUCCAUCCCCCACAAUCUUUAACAGUAAGUAGUUUCGUUUAGCAAACUAUUUUGGGCUUUGCAAGAUAGAUUCUUUUCUUAAUUAAUAGCUCAAAAAUUUUGAGGGAAAGAAGUUAAUAGAAAUGGCAAACAAAAAUAUUAAGAGAUCUCCAUCUUUGUGGAUGAGAAGCGUCUUUGCAGAAUGCAGAAGUCAUAAUGUACUUCCUCCGUCUCAAUUUAUGUGGCACUAUUUAAUUAGGCAUGGAGUUUGAAAAAGAACGGGAGACUUUUGAAAUUUGUAAUUCAAAACAAGUCUUAAAUAUUUGAAUGACUAUAAAUCAUCUCAUAAAGUUAAAAUUAUAAAUAUAGAAAGAUAACAUUCUUUUUGGGACAUACUGAAAAUAAAAGCGUGUCACAUAAAUUGGGACAGAGGGAGUAGUACAUUUACUUUUUUUUGGUUACUAUGUCAGAGUCUCAUUUUGUACCAGCAAAUAUAUAUUGGUGCUGCAAGAUGGAAGAACAAAUUUUACAGAGAGGUGUGGAAGAAGCGUAAAUGGCACUAUGACAGCACCACUAAAUAUGUUAGAUGCAAAAAAGGAGAUUUAUGCAGCUGGAUUAACCCCUUUUUAUACUCUGUUAAAUUAUUUUUUCAGAACAGAAAUUACCAAUCCAUAAAGAUUCUCAUAACUGGUAGCUGGCAUCGUACAUAAAAUCAUGCUCAAGUUUACUUUUCAACCACAAAAGCAUUAUGUAUGUAAGUCACUUGUCACUG